rnacentral:tRNA from 1 species
GAAAAAGUAACUCAGUUGGUAGAGUGUUGGUUUGUCGUACCGGUGGUCGCGGGUUCAAGUCCCGUCUUUUUCG